rnacentral:rRNA from 1 species
GACGAACCGUGCAAACGUUGUUCGGAAUCACUGGGCUUAAAGGGCGCGUAGGCGGCUUGCCAAGUCAGGGGUGAAAUCUUUCGGCUUAACCGGAAAAGUGCCUCUGAUACUGGCGAGCUAGAGGGAGGUAGGGGCAUGUGGAACUUCCGGUGGAGCGGUGAAAUGCGUUGAUAUCGGAAGGAACGCCGGUGGCGAAAGCGCUCUGCUGGACCUUAACUGACACUGAGGGACGAAAGCUAGGGGAGCGAAUGGG